AUAAAAAAUGCCUGAGCUUUGCCUCUUCCUUCCUACGUCCACAUCGUCGUGGUUCUGGAGCGAUCUCUGGCGUCGUUCAGCCGCCUCAACGUGUUCUCCUCCUAUGCCAUUGACGACUCAAAAUUCCACUCCACAAUUGAAAUCUUGAUGAAAUUUCUCCUAAUACCCUCCCCCGAUCUGUCUCCUCUCCAGUCUCCAUGAAAUUUCUCCCAUUAUCCUCCCAGAUCUGUUUCGUUUUCAAUCUUUAAAUCCCCUCGGUUUCAACUAACGCCAUGUUUUUUCAGAACAGUGAAUCAAUUGUCAGUGGCAAGAUGUUAGAUGCACCAUGAAAUUUCUCCCAUUAUCCACCCAGAACUGUUUCCUUUCCAAUCUUUAAAUCCCCUCGGUUUCAACUAACACCAUGUUUUUUCAGAAGACUGAAUCAAUUGUCAGCGGCAAGAUGUUAGAUGCACCAGAACAGAUUGUGUACGGGCCGAUGGUUGAAGAAGAUUAAGGGACCGUCAUCGUCGGAGAGGUUGCGGGGUGGACGCACUACCUCAUGUAUCCACUAUGAAGGUAAGUAAUGCUUAUCCUAAAUUCCCCUGCUCUAAAAUAAAACAAUUUUUAGGUCUAUGGGCAAUAAUACUCUUCACUGGAUUAUGAGCCGAAGGAAUGGAACUAGGAAAGUGGGUGUGAUCUGCAUCUCCUCAGUUGGCGCACCACAAAAUUCUUUCAGUUGGGAUGUAUUCCUUGAUUCCUUACAUGGCCACUUUCGGUUUUACCUGAGCUAAUUAAUAUUUUUUUGACAAAGAAAUUAGUUAAUGUUUCUCAUGCAGAGGAUUUGGCUGUUGUGCGCUAUUCCUUAAUCAGAAUUCAGAACUGUUCCCAUCCAGAAAUUAAGGCUGCAUGGUGUACAUGAGCUAUACAAAUCUUCAUUACAUUGUUUCCGUUUUGUACAUCAACAAGGCUACAGAUUAGUGAUGAAAGUAUCUGGAGCCCUAGAAGCACAAGUUAAAAAUGGAAAGGCCAGUCGCUAAACAAGAACGCUGGGUUUACAGGAGAUAAAACUCUACGUCUCUCCAAGGGACCGAUUGCACAAUUGGAGGUUUUACCCAAUUAGAGAAGCAAUCUGGGGUGGAUCAAGGGCUUGAUUCGAUAUCAUUCUAAUGAGUUUAUUCCAUAUAUGUUCCACGAAGACGGCAUGGAACUCAUAAGAUUUGAAAUCCUAGGCAUCAGAUUUGGGUAUUGAAGGCAGCUAAGGGGCGAGAUAUCCCUUGCGAAAGGGCAUAGGUAGAAGAGGCGCACUUCUGAUUCGAGAGCUUGGACCAACAUUGUACAUCGAUCAUCAUGGGGCCUGCUGGAAUUGGAUAUUUGUAUGUGCAGUUCAUUUUCUGUUUCCAAUAAUUCUUGAAUUACAUUCUGCUCAUUACAUACACUUCUACCUACAACUGACCUGUUAUAGUACAGUGGGAAAUUUUAGAUGCAGACCAAGGAAACAAGUUGCUGAUGGAAUAUCAUGCAUCGUUGCUGAGGAGAUUAGUCAUUUUCGCAUUACCUGCUUUUCUGUGAUAUUUCAGGUUUCAGGUUUGUCCUCAAGGCUAUCCUGUCAUAAUGUUUUGUUAGAUAUAAAUAAUAUGAAUAUGAAUCCACAUGGGCAAUUGCUAUGCUUGCUCUGAAAACUCAGAUGUCUUUUGCAUAUUUAUAAGCUCUGAAGAAACUAGGAAUAUCAUGGUUGAUUAGGGCAUCUAACUUAUGGGUUGAGAUCUAAUUAGAGAUUUCCUACAAAUUCCACGUUAAUCCGCACUUCAUAACAUUCUUAAUUCUGCGGAAAAAGAGAAGUCAUCCCUGCGUACGCUUUGGUAAGCCAAGGAUGUAUAGGCCUGCGCUCCUGUUUUUACGCUAAAAAGAGCUCUCCUCGCUGAGUACGUUACAUUUUUUUGAGUUGGAGAGCACACUUCAUUAAGAAUGGACCAGCGCAUGUUCUACGGUUUUAUAGGUCCUCUCCAUGGCUGUGCUAUACCUCCUACCUGUCUGUUGGUCCAGACCGUGCGCGUCGAGUACUUUCCGACGACACGCAAAUGACCGACGACGAACGACGACGAAGUACUUGCCGACAGUCUUGGUUUCUGCCCCAAGCCGGCUCGAUCCAUCCGGAUGGAUCGAAACUAGCACAGCUAGCUACGUAGCCCAGUGAGUUGCACUCGUACACGAACUCCUACGCCGAACACGCACGUACACAGCAACCGGCUGAUUGAUCCGGCCGGCCUGCACUACACACACGUACGCACACGAGGAGGCUGGCCAAGUAUUGCCAAAGGCUCGUAUCGAGCCUUGUGUUUUAUUUUAACUCACGGUACAAAGAUUACAAGGGGUGGUGACAUAUAUAUACUAGUAUAGCUAGCCUAUAUGUAAACCUAUCAGGUGACUGAGUCCUAGUCCGAGCCGGCUAGGAGACGGAGACGUGUUUAACUCCAACAAUCACCCCCCUAAACACGAUGUCGUCACGUCACAGCUCCGACGCCGAUCCUUCUUCGCAUCUUCAAGAACUUCUCUCGGUCCAAAGUCUUGGUUAGCAUAUCCGCCAGUUGAUCAUCAGUGCGAACGUAGUUGACCUUCAUCCUACCUUCUUCCACGCAAUCCUUUGUGUAAUGAUACAUCGUAUCAAUAUGCUUGCUCCUUUCACGCCGCACUGGAUCCUCGGGUAGAAAGGUCUCACUAUCAACAUUGAGCACAAUUUGUUCCGGAUCUCGAUCUAUGAGAUCACUAUGUAGCCUCGCUAGUGACACACCGUGACAUGCCGCAGUUGCUUUACUCUUCUUGCUCAGCUCAAGACGAGGUUCCAUUGGAGCGUCAAUUCGAUUGCAAUAUUUCAUUACACGACUUUCAAGUACCUUCCUUGCGUAUGCCUCCCGGCAUAGUGUGAUCCCUUCCGUCUUUUGAUGUACCUCUAUCCCGGGGUAGUAGCUCAAAAGACCAAGAUCAUCCAUCUUGAAAAGCCCUUCCAUCUGUAGCUUGAACUUUGCAAUCAACUCUUCAUCUGCUCCGGUAAUUAAUAGGUCGUCGACGUAGAUGCCAACUAGUAGACGACCCCUUCCUUCACCUCUCUUGUACAUUGCAUGCUCUAGUGGGGCUUUCUCAAAUUCAAGCGAAAUCAUCGUCUGAUCAAGUUUGAUGUUCCACACCUGAGAGCCUUGCCGUAGCCCGUACAAGACUUUGUGUAACUUCAGUACCUUGUGUUCAUCUCCCUCUUUGAUGAAUCCUGGUGACUGGUUCACAUACACAUCUCCUUCUAACUCGCCAUUCAAAAAUGCGGAUUUUACAUCCAAGUGAUGUAUCUUCCAUGAUUGCUGAACCGCGAGAGCGAUGAGUAGUCUCACCGAUUCCAUCCUUUCAAUGGGAACGAACACUUCUUCGAAGUCCACACCUUCCUCUUGCACGUACUCUUUGACUACUAGCCUUGCUUUGUGCUUUACGGACCCUUCAACAUCUCUCUUGACCUUAAAUUCCCACUUGAGCUUUAUGGCUUCAUGGUUGUUGGGAAGAUCCACGAGCUCCGAUGCAUUGUUGUCAUAGAUCGACCUCAACUCUCCUUUUAUAGCACGACGCCAACACUCUUCCAUAACCGCGUCUUCAAAUUUUCCCGGUUCCUUGAUGUGCAAACAUCGUUGCCCUUUACUCGUCAUCUUCACCGAAUUAAUUUGAGGCGCUUCCUCUGAAGGAUGUCCAACACAUGUCGUUCUCGUGCUACUGUAGAAGACACACUUGCUUCUGGAACUGCCAAAUUCCCUGUUGCUGGCGAUUUGAGCCCUUGCAAACUGUUCUCUGGAGAGCCUCUAGAACCACACGCAGGAGCACCAAAGAGAUCAGCCAACGAUUCCAAUGAAAGCUUUUCAAGCACCAAAACUGCUGGGCCUCCACGUGAUGAUGAGUUUUGUAGUGGAAAGUGUGCUGGAGCUGGCCUGCCGCAUGUGCCGCCAUCAACCGGUCCGUCUACUAGGCCGCGGGCACUAGCGAGCGAAGCUGGACCAGCCCCGUACGCGACGACGUGCCUCGACUCAUGCCUGCUCGUGCGGACUGCCUGGCUUGCCACUCGUUGCGAUGCACCCAACGCUGCUACCGUCUGGACUCGCCAUGCUAUCCUCUGACGCGGCGUUCACAGGCCUCGCCAUGGCACCGUCCAACAUAGCGUCCCGUUCAUCUUGUCCUAGUACAGCUGGCCGCAUGUCGCGUUCUGCUGGCAUGGCCCCUCCAUCACAUCUUGUGUUGUGUACUUCUGGCGCCACGUCUAUGCCUCGACUUACUGGGGUGAUCACAUCAUCACACCUUGUGUCAUGGUCUUCUGGUGCCACAACUUCGCCUGAGGUUACUGGCGCGGAUGCACUCACCGGACCCGUGUCCAGCUGACCAAGAUCAUCUGAAUCCUCCUCGUCCACUAGCUCGCACAUCGGCAUCAUAUCCCCAUCAUCUCCUUCCUCGGCCACGAGCGCCCGUUGUUUCGGUGCUUCCUCGCAGUCAGCCUUGAAGUGACCGAGGAGGCCACAUUUAUGACACCUCACUUUUCUGAUGUCAAAUUUCCUCCUCGGUGGUGCAGGCGCAUCCUCGUCGUCCGAGUCAGCGAAGUUAUUUCUCGCCGAGCGCUGCUUCCCUUUCUUCUUGCUGCUGCUGGUGGACCCGACUCGCUUUUCUAGGGCGUCUCACUGCGCCUUUGUGAGCAUCACAAGCUCGUCGUUCUUUCCAUCCCCAAGACUGUACCGCAUCCUCUCAUCGUGAGCCUUGUAUCGUCCGACAAGAUCGUCGAUGGAGAGAGUCGCGAGAUCGACGCACUGCUCGAUCGCCGUGACAAUUUGCAGGUACCAGGGAGGGGCCGCACGCAAGAACCGCCGGACAACCGAGGCCUCCGUUAGGUUUUCUCCAAGCGCACGAAUCCGAUUGACGAGAGUAACUACCCGCGAAGCGAACGCAUCCAUGGACUCAUCAUCGCCCAUGAUCAAAGUCUCAUAGUUCCGUAGGAGAGUUUGGAGAUUGGCUUGCUUGACGCGGGUGUGUCCCUCGAACAUGAGUUUCAGCGUAUCCCACACCUCCUUCGCCGUUGCUUUGGUGAUCAGGUGUUGAAGGACAUCCAUCGGCAUCACCGAAUAAAUCGCCGAAGCCGCCUGUCGAUCCUUCCGGUGCUCGGCUCCCUCCUUCUUGUACGCGUCGCCUCCUGGAUCGACUGUGCCCCAUAGCUCGUUGGCGCGGAGACCACACUCCAUGAGGGCCUUCCAGACUCCAAAGUUCUCACGAUCAAACCGUGGGUACUGUGAACUCGCCGGAGCAGCAAUUACUUUAGCCGCACCGGAGUACUCCGCCAGCUGCUUGGUCUUCUCAUCGUCCGACAUGAUCUUCCGUUACUAGAAGAUCAACCUUGCUCUAGAUACCAAUUGUUGGCCCAGACCGUGCACGUCGAGUACUUUCCGACGACACGCAAACGACCGACGACGAACGACGACGAAGAACUUGCCGACAGUCUUAGUUUUGCCCCAAGCUGGCUCGAUCCGUCCGGAUCGAUCGAAACUAGCACAGCUAGCUACGUAGCCCGGUGAGUUGCACUCGUACACGAACUCCUACGCCGAACACCCACGUAAACAGCAACCGGCUGAUUGAUCCGGCCGGCCUGCACUACACACACGUACGCACACGAGGAGGCUGGCCAAGUAUUGCCAAAGGCUCGUAUCGAGCCUUGCGUUUUAUUUUAACUCACGGUACAAAGAUUAGAAGGGGUGGUUAGAUAUAUAUACUAGUAUAGCUAGCCUAUACGUAAACCUAUCAGGUGACUGAGUCCUAGUCCGACUGUCCGAGCCGGCUAGGAGACGGAGACGUGUUCUACCUGUCCAUGGGAGGACCAGCGCAUGUUCUACGGUUUUAUAGGUCCUCUCCAUGGCUGUGCUAUACCUGCUACCUGUCCGCCUCACGAUCUUACUAACAUCCAUGAAACUGUCAUUCAGUAUCUUCUUCCAUUGUUCCUUAAAGCUGUUUGUUAGGCUCUUCACCUCGGCCAGCUCGCCAUAGCUGCACAGCUCUCCUGAGAAGCCACCGGUUGUCUAUGCUCAUCCUAUUCCUAUUCAUAGGCAAAACCUGACGCAGACCCAAUCGCAAAGGAUGAUGGGAUCAUGGGAGGAAGAGGCAAGGUACUGUCUUGAAGAUGUCUCAAGUCUCAAUGUCUCAUACAUAUUGAUAAAGGCAAUAAAACUGUGUUGCAUGGGGAAGAUCAGCAUGGCUGCAAUAACAAUACACUCAGAAUCACUGAAAAAAAUAGCGCACUAGCGUCGCUAAUAGCACGCUAUAGCAUAUUAAGAAUUGCCUCGCUAAAUAUAUCAGCGUAUAACGUCUCGCUAAUAGCACGAUAUAGCACGAUAUAGCACGUUAGUAGCAUAUUUUGAAGUCGGUGCUAUUUUGUUGUAGCACGCCACAACAACUUGACUUGCUAUCAACGACAUGACGAGUCGCUUGCUUGACUUGCACCAUGCCGGAGACUCGGAGUAGGCCACCUGCUCGGUGUGCAUGAUGUUCCAGUAGGCGCACCUGCUCCAGCCGAGCCGUGUGUAUUCUACGGGGCAGCGUUGCAGUGGAUAUGGGACGCACACAUGAUUUCCCGAUUGGAGACGGUGCACAUGGGUGGCUGCCGUUGGCAUGGAUGCGUAUUGUUCUUCUAACCCUUGGGAAAAAGAGUUUGUCUCAUGUAUGUUACUCCUUCUAGAGCAACAGAAUAAACAUUUGCAACAUGGCUGAGAUAAUAUUUAUAGAAAUAUAGCUAUGUUUUUUUCUUCUGAUUUUUGUGUUGAUUUACAGGUGAAAAGGAAGCUAAUGACAUAUCCUUCCGAGCAAUGUUAAAGUUAGCGAAUUUAUGAUAUAUAUAACACAUUGCAUAUUAUACACUCCAAGUAAUCGUAUAGUGAUUAUGUCACCGUGGCUCUUGUGUUGCGUGCAGAUUUUUUAUAGAAGAUGCUAUAUGUUAAUCCAUUUCUUUGCAAGUUUUUCUCUCGCACAUCUAGCUUCCUACCGACAGAUACAUGUUGUAGAAGCAAAGUCCAAUUUAUGGGAUGUCCAAGAUUGCGGGCGGGAUUGAUGCCCUUUUACCAUGGAAAAAGUAGCAACAACAACAGUGUUUUGUGCCCGCGAUGGCAUAAUCCAAGUCUGUUGAUGUGUUUGACACUUAUGGCUGUACUCGACGCUCCUCAAUUUAUGACAUCCCUCGCUAUGCAACAGAUUAUGUAGUGCAGAAUUUUUUCCUUUACAUACAUCAAG